AUGGACCACGCAUACACGCCGGUUCCGAGUGCGCCAUCCGCACCCACACGACCGCUCGCGACGCAUUGUUCGCC
rnacentral:sRNA from 1 species